ACAAAAAGAAACUUUCACUUAAAUAUAGAAAAUGGAGAAGGCAUCAAGAAUCUUGUUCUCUCUUCUUGUUGUGUUCAUUUUGAUAGGUUCACCUUCAUGUAUGGUGAUGGGACAAGGCAAGGCAUGUGAAAGUGUCAAAGAUUGUUAUACUUUAUUUUGCAAACAUGAACAUCUAGUUUGUUUAGAUGGACAUUGUAUAUGCAAUGAAUCACCAAAAAAAAUUGAAUAUGAUCCUUGCAAAAAAGAUGAUGAUUGUAAAGUUUUGUGUGGUCCUGAUUGGCCAGUAGUUAAAUGUAUUAAUGGAGAUUGCUAUUGUGACUUUCAAAAGGUGUAAUAGAAUAUUUUUUCUUA